AAAAACUAUAUUAUCUCUGUGGAUUACCGUGGCUGGGUGUAUGCGUAGUGACCCUUACCAGCCACCGUAUCAUCUGCUGAAGUUGCCGGCGGCACAUGCGCACUUUGUUGUUUACGGCCAAAAUUUUCUUGAAGCUAAAGCUGAAAUAAUGGCCAAAGGAGGAGACGGCAGUGCUCAGGACAUUUAUUAUCCCUCAAAGAAGACAAAGAGGGAAGUAUGUGCAUAUUUUGGAUAUUUGAAGAAUGCCGAGGGACAGUUGAUAGAAGACGGCUAUCCUGUUUGCAGCACGUGCAGGAAAAAGUGUCUGUGAAAGGCAGCAACGCUUCAAAUCUCAUGACACAUCUGCGUGACCAUCACCCACAACUCUACAGUCAACGCAAGGCAAGUUAGCGUUAGCGUUUUAGCUAAAAUGCGUGAUCCGAGGAUUUGGGUUGAGGGAGAAUGCAACGAGUGGCCUCAGAGCAGCCGCAGCGCCGCUACCUGCAUAUAAACCGUGUCGCGGACACUCCCAUGUUGAAAUGACGCUAUGCAUUACGGGGCUCCCAGGGGCAGAUAAGAGUUGGUCUCUCUGCUAGAAUAAUCAUGAAUUUAACAAUGAUUACUGCCUGAUGACAUUUUCCCACAUCUGCAAAGCUCACUGGAAGGACACAAACCGAGGACAACAUUUUCCUGAUACAGCGUUAAGCCACAUGAUGCUGACUUCCGUGACCUGCUGAAGCAUGCUACACACUCAGGAUAACCAUGGUAACACGACGUGUCUUCCAGAAUAACCAGAGCUGAAUCAGGACGUCUGAACAACAGAACCUUCACAACGUUGGUACUUACUGCAGGACUGUUCAUUUGCAUCUGUUAAAUAAUUUACCACUUACGGUCAGGUUGGGAUUAGAGUCUUUACUUGAAGACAGAACAAGAAGAAUUAUUAACAAUGAAAUAGCAGCAUAAAUAAAUAACUAGAUCAUUAAUUAAAAAGUUUCAGGUCAAACUGCUGCCUUUGCAUUCAUGUCCAUCUUCAUGUAUUCACAUGAUCCUAAGUGGUGAUGAGCAACAAUCAGUUGGGUGGAAGCAGCUGGUCUGGUCAGUGAUGGAGUAAAUGCUGGUAAGUGGAGUGGUGCAGCUGGCUGGGUGAUGGGGCCUUUUACAGGAUCACUGGUAUUAAAAGGAAUGGUAAGGGAGCUAAAAUCCCUCCAAAAACACCACCCAUCUGUACUGGUGCUGGAGCGUUGGUGGAGGUUUGCAUGUUGUGGUGCUAGAUGAUGUGUUUCUUUGUUUUUGUCUCUUUUCAUCCGGGUUCUGGUGUGAGAGAGAGGGAUCCUCUAGUCCUGAAGAAGUCUGGAGCUUGCUGAGCUCACUGAAGCAGAAGUUCUUUUGUGGGGUCUCGUGAGACUAAAACAUGUCAAUGCCUGACUGAAAAUGUUUGUGCAGGUUGAACUUAUCACACAGUUUUCUGUUAUUAUGAUCUCUGGAUUUUAAUGAAGAAAUAAAUAAAAAAUGUUUUUCUUUUUUGA